UCUCCUCCAGCUCUCUCCCUCUCAUAUCCAUCUCUGAGCAUCUCUCUCUCACCUCCAUCUCUCACCAGGCUUGAACUCAUCUCUCAGCAGCUGUGACCAAAACCCUAGUUUUGAAUUAGCUACAAUGGAGCUUGCUUUGGGUUCCUAACUUCUUGAUCUGGAAGUAGCUUUCGAAUUAGCUUUCGGGUUGUUUUAAGAUUGAAGGAAAAGAAUGGCACCAAAAAAGCAGAAAGUUAAGAAAUCCAAGAAAUCCAAGCCGGCAGCUGUGCAGGAUAAUGCUGAUCAG